CCCCUUUCCCUCAGAGCAUCCGCGUUGCCCGGGGCAACGCCCGCCUCUUCCAGCAUCCCUAAUCAUUCCCGACGAUGGAAGUGCGUGGAGCGCCUUGUAUCCCAGGGAUUCCAUACGUCUUUCUGCUUCCACCUGCCCCGGCUUCAAUCAGGAGUAGGUAACUGUGGAUUUGACCCUCAGGGUGAGAGAAUAAAAUCGGAGUCAUUGCCACCGCCCGGAGGAUACCCAGGAAACGAGCCAAGUUGGGAGGUCGAACGCUUCCAAUAAUCCCUGGCAGGCGUCCCUAAGGUGGAGUCUACUGGCUUCUAGCAUCCUUACCAUCGGCACAGCAGCACAGGCCUCCCUGUCACCAUGGAGACGACACUGAUGAGAACCAGGUCGUUUGUGGUGACUGACGGGAAGCCCUGUGGAAUGGUUCGAGAAGCCUAAGGAUGUCAGCGCCACCACAUCAGGAAACGGAAAUCCCCUCUCCAGCGGUCGUCUUGGGAUGGUAAACGUGGCAAGCCCGUCACCUUGGGAAGCAGCGGGACAGGAGGAGGUCCCGAAGGAUCUUCAGAGGGCCGCACCUGGAGAGUCUCCCAGUCUGGACUAAGCGAGGGAGAGUCAACCGUUCCAUUCCUAGCUUGGGCAGUGGCCAGCGAGUGGAAGGCAAUCUGCUACAAGUCAAAUCUCACCCGCACUGGGCAGCGGAGGCACGGGAGAGAGUCGAGGACGGAGACUCAAGUUUCCCGUGCGGAAGGAGGCAACGGUAAACCACUUCCAGAUUUUUACCGAGAACACUCUAUGGAUGGAUCCACUUCCAGAACAAUUGUAGGUGGAGGUGGGGCGUUCUAGGAGAGAUGCGUCCAUGGCAUCCUUGGGGGUCGGAGACGACUCGGCAGCAUAAGACAACAACAACGUAACUUUCUUGUCUUUAGUAUCUGUCCAUGACACGGUGGGUAAUACUUCAGAAAUGAAGUAUUCUAUUCCCAUUAGCCAUUUUUAGUUCAAUCAAUCAAAAAUCACGAGACCAUGUUACCUUGGUAAGCAAAUACUGCACUUCUUUUCAAACACCUUUCUACUUUACCAACAUCUUUUUAAAAUAAUGUACUUGUUUUUCCCUCUAAGGCCACGUAGAGGUAAUCUACAGUAUGCACGAGACUCUGAAUUAAAUAUAAAAUCACGCGACAAAAGGAUCGUUUUCCUCAGUUAUUUCAGAGAUUUUUGUAUACUCGCCCAAUUGUCAUUCCACUCUGCAUGUCAGGACCAUCAGCUCUGCAGCGAUUCACCUGGACCAAAGCUUUGGCAUGAAAUAAACUCAGAACAGACAUC